ACCAAAUGCUUAAAAUAAUCAAAGCCUUAAAGGCUGUAAAAGCAAUUGCUGCCAUGUUAAUGUUUGGAGACUUUUAUUUUUCAUCCACAUAUAUACAAGAAUUAAACCUGACAUGAGUGUUGUCUAGUUAAAAGUAAGAAGGUUUUAACUUUAUAUAAAUAAAAGACUUUAGCAGAAAGUCAUUUUUAAUAUGUUUUAUAUUUCACAAGGAGACAACAC
rnacentral:lncRNA from 1 species